rnacentral:rRNA from 1 species
CCUACGGGUUGCAGCAGUAGGGAAUCUUCCGCAAUGGACGAAAGUCUGACGGAGCAACGCCGCGUGAGUGAUGAAGGCUUUCGGGUCGUAAAACUCUGUUGUUAGGGAAGAACAAGUGCUAGUUGGAUAAGCUGGCACCUUGACGGUACCUAACCAGAAAGCCACGGCUAACUACGUGCCAGCAGCCGCGGUAAUACGUAGGUGGCAAGCGUUAUCCGGAAUUAUUGGGCGUAAAGCGCGCGCAGGUGGUUUCUUAAGUCUGAUGUGAAAGCCCACGGCUCAACCGUGGAGGGUCAUUGGAAACUGGGAGACUUGAGUGCAGAAGAGGAAAGUGGAAUUCCAUGUGUAGCGGUGAAAUGCGUAGAGAUAUGGAGGAACACCAGUGGCGAAGGCGACUUUCUGGUCUGUAACUGACACUGAGGCGCGAAAGCGUGGGGAGCAAACAGGAUUAGAUACCCCGGUAGUC